rnacentral:rRNA from 1 species
GACGAACGCUGGCGGCGUGCUUAACACAUGCAAGUCGAACGGAAAGGCCCUGCUUUUGUGGGGUGCUCGAGUGGCGAACGGGUGAGUAACACGUGAGUAACCUGCCCUUGACUUUGGGAUAACUUCAGGAAACUGGGGCUAAUACCGGAUAGGAGCUCCUGCUGCAUGGUGGGGGUGGGAAAUUUUCGGCGGUUGGGGAUGGACUCGCGGCUUAUCAGCUUGUUGGUGGGGUAGGGGCUUACCAAGGCUUGGACGGGUAGCCGGCCUGAGAGGGUGACCGGCCACAUUGGGACUGAGAUACGGCCCAGACUCCUACGGGAGGCAGCAGUGGGGAAUAUUGCACAAUGGGCGGAAGCCUGAUGCAGCAACGCCGCGUGCGGGAUGACGGCCUUCGGGUUGUAAACCGCUUUCGCCUGUGACGAAGCGUGAGUGACGGUAAUGGGUAAAGAAGCACCGGCUAACUACGUG